GCGGCAGUGACCGGGGUGCUGGUGGUGGCGCUGUUGUUGGCGGUGUUCGACUCGGCGGUUGCCGUGGUUGCAGCCACGCUGUUGACC
rnacentral:tRNA from 1 species